CGGUAUUGCAACAGUACAGCAACGGAUUUUUACAACCACUCAGCUUCUUUUCAAGGAAGCUCACGCCUACACAAACAAAGGACGAAAUUUUCACGUUAUCACGGAUCAUAAACCCCUCGUGUAUGCAUUCAAGAGGAAAUCAGAUCAAAUGUCGCCAAGACAACCCCGUCAACUACUCUUCAUUUCGGAGUUCACAACCGAUGUACGUCACGUUUCAGGCGCCGAAACCAUUGUAGCAGAUGCAUUAUCUCGCGCCGACACUAUCGUGAUGCCAACUAGUCUCGAUAUGUAAGAGAUUGCAGAAGCUCAAGCUUCGGAUGAUGAAUUGCAACUGAAGCAAUCUACAUCAACGUCUUUGAAGCUUAAAAAGUUUACCUUAUCGGAAACAGCAUCCAAUAUUUACUGUGACACUUCAGAAGAAGAGAUCAGACCUUACAUUCCCAGACCAUUACGAAGACGAGUUUUUGAUAUGGUGCAUCAAAUGUCACAUCCAAGCGGCAGAGCAACUCACCGGCAAAUUACGCAAAAAUUUGUGUGGCCCUCCAUGACUAAGGACAUUAAAGAGUGGGCCCGCACUUGUCUAGCAUGCCAGCAAUCUAAAAUUCAUCGACAUAACCAUACCUCGCCUACCAUAAUACCAGUACCAGAUAUUCGUUUCGAGCAUGUACAUAUCGCUAUCGUCGGUCCUCUACCUCCAUCCAAAAGUUUCAGGUAUUUAUUAAUAAUGAUUGAUCGAUUUACUCGUUGGCCGGAGGCUAUUCCAUUACAGGAUUGUACAGCAAACACGGUAGCGAAAAUGUUUUUCACUCACUGGGUAGCCAGAUUCGGAGCUCUACGCUUGAUCACGACCGAUCAAGGCUCGCAAUUCGAAGCUGUUCAACACAUUAAGCAAACUCAUAGGUUCUAAACGUUGUCGGACAACUGCAUACCACCCAGAAUCUAAUGGCAUCAUCGAACGAUGGCAUCGCUCUUUAAAAAGCAUUAAUGCCACGGUGAAAUUCAAUGGACUGAUACACUGCCAGUAGUAUUACUCUAACUAAGAACUUGUCUCAAAGAGGAUCUAGGCGCUUCUGUAGCGGAAUUAGUGCACUACGCUCAAAGUACCGGGUGAAUUUUUCUCCUCUGAAGAAAAUUGCCGAGCAACCCACGAAUUUUCGUCGAGGAUUUCCGUGUAAUUAUGCAAAAGUUGCGGCUUAAAUCAACCUCUCAUUACAUUAGACCUAAGCUAUUUUUCCAUAAAGACUUGUAUAACUGCUCUCACGUCUUCUUCAAAGUAGAAGGCAACAGACGUCCUCUGGAUCAACCAUACACCGGACCGCAUAAAGUAUUAGAGCGCAUUUCGAACAAAGUCUUUGCUAUAGAAGUCGACGGCAAAUGCGUCAACGCCACUGUCAAUAGACUUAAGCCCGCUUACUAAUCCAAGACUCAGAAACUACUCCUCUGUCCACUGCGUCUUCAACUAACAUUCCAGUGCAAGGUGAACCAAAGACAUAUCCUAGUCCAGCAAUCAAGCGAAAGACUGUUAAUUUUAAGAAUUAAUUCGUGCAAUGUUACGUUAAGCAAACGACCAAUAAGUAUAAGUUUCUGUUUGUUCCAUUUAAUUUUAUUUUUUGUUAUUUUCGUUCUAGCGAUAAUGUAACCAGUAUUUCUUUCUUUAACGUUUACAUUGGGAGGGGAGUACUGUAGCGUUGCGAGUAUUGGUUGCGGCGCUGCGAGCGCCAGUUGCGGCGCUGCGUAUGUCCGUCGCGGCGCUGAAAUUGGUCCUUCUUUCCGUUUCUUCUUCCUCUCGCUCUCUCUGGUGUCAUGGCGUGCCGCGUGCGGAUCUCGUUUGCACCACCGACUAAAAAUCGUCCUGGAGCACAAUUCUGUAACUGUCUUUAUAUACCUACUGACAGUUGUUGAUAUCGUUAAAUGCGUCGGUCGACAAACUUCGAGUAAGUGCAAUUCUAUAUCAUUGCUACCGAUAAAAAUGUUACGAUGUUCAUUGUUAAUUCACGAUAAUAAUCAUUAACUCUAACGUAACCUCCCUAGAUAACGAAAACAUAUCGACACAUUUGGACUUAGUAGCGACAACUAAAAUAAUAAAAAUCGCUGUUUUAUAACCUAUUAAAC
rnacentral:lncRNA from 1 species